AGAGUUUGAUCCUGGCUCAGAUUGAACGCUGGCGGCAUGCUUUACACAUGCAAGUCGAACGGCAGCAUAGAGAGCUUGCUCUCUGAUGGCGAGUGGCGAACGGGUGAGUAAUACAUCGGAACGUGUCCGUUUGUGGGGGACAACCACCCGAAAGGGUGGCUAAUACCGCAUAAGACCUGAGGGUGAAAGCCGGGGACCGCAAGGCCUGGCGCGAACGGAGCGGCCGAUGACUGAUUAGCUGGUUGGCGGGGUAAAGGCCCACCAAGGCGACGAUCAGUAGCUGGUCUGAGAGGACGACCAGCCACACUGGAACUGAGACACGGUCCAGACUCCUACGGGAGGCAGCAGUGGGGAAUUUUGGACAAUGGGGGCAACCCUGAUCCAGCCAUGCCGCGUGCGGGAAGAAGGCCUUCGGGUUGUAAACCGCUUUUGUCAGGGACGAAAAGGUGCGGGUUAAGAGCUAGCACUGAUGACGGUACCUGAAGAAUAAGCACCGGCUAACUACGUGCCAGCAGCCGCGGUAAUACGUAGGGUGCGAGCGUUAAUCGGAAUUACUGGGCGUAAAGCGUGCGCAGGCGGUUGGGUAAGACAGAUGUGAAAUCCCCGGGCUUAACCUGGGAACUGCAUUUGUGACUGUCCGACUGGAGUAUGUCAGAGGGGGGUGGAAUUCCAAGUGUAGCAGUGAAAUGCGUAGAUAUUUGGAAGAACACCGAUGGCGAAGGCAGCCCCCUGGGGCAAAACUGACGCUCAUGCACGAAAGCGUGGGGAGCAAACAGGAUUAGAUACCCUGGUAGUCCACGCCCUAAACGAUGUCUACUGGUUGUUGGAGGGUAAAACCUUCAGUAACGAAGCUAACGCGUGAAGUAGACCGCCUGGGGAGUACGGUCGCAAGAUUAAAACUCAAAGGAAUUGACGGGGACCCG
rnacentral:rRNA from 2 species